AACGAACGCUGGCGGCAUGCCUAACACAUGCAAGUCGAACGAGACCUUCGGGUCUAGUGGCGCACGGGUGCGUAACGCGUGGGAACCUGCCCUUAGGUUCGGAAUAACUCCCCGAAAGGGGUGCUAAUACCGGAUAAUGUCUUCGGACCAAAGAUUUAUCGCCUUUGGAUGGGCCCGCGUUGGAUUUGCUAGUUGGUAGGGUAAAAGCCUACCAAGGCGACGAUCCAUAGCUGGUCUGAGAGGAUGAUCAGCCACACUGGGACUGAGACACGGCCCAGACUCCUACGGGAAGCAGCAGUGGGGAAUAUUGGACAAUGGGCGAAAGCCUGAUCCAGCAAUGCCGCGUGAGUGAUGAAGGCCUUAGGGUUGUAAAGCUCUUUUACCCGGGAUGAUAAUGACAGUACCGGGAGAAUAAGCUCCGGCUAACUCCGUG
rnacentral:rRNA from 1 species